rnacentral:tRNA from 1 species
GGUUUUGUAGUUUAUAAAAAAAUAAGGAAUUGCAAGUUCUUAGAAGUUUAAUUAACCAAAAUUU